rnacentral:lncRNA from 1 species
CCCCAAAAGAUCCCCAAAAUCAAACUACUAAGAAAUAGUAAUCAUACUAAGGUCAAAUCAAAAUCAAAGUCUUUACAUAGACCCAAAACCCCAAAGAUCCCCAAUUUAAAGCCUAAGAGCUAGUGAACUUGGUAACAGCCUUGGUCCCUUCAGAAACAGCGUGCUUAGCCAAUUCACCAGGCAACACAAGCCUCACAGCAGUCUGAAUUUCCCUAGAAGUGAUAGUAGGCUUCUUGUUGAUCCUAGCCAAUCUAGAAGCUUCCUGAGCAAGCUUCUCAAAUAUAUCAUUAAUGAAACUGUUCAUUAUACCCAUUGAUUUGCUGGAGAUACCGAUAUCUGGAUGCACCUGCUUCAGCACCUUGAAGAUGUAGAUCUUGUAGGUUUCAAUGCUCUUCUUUGCCCUCUUCUUCUUCUUGUCGGCGCUGCAACUUUUACAGAAAGAUGAAUUGGAAUUUAAAUGAAGAGAAUGCGUGAGUGAUGAGAAAUGAUGAGGAGUGGAAUCGGUGAAAUGAUAGUUAUAUAGGGUUUGGAUUCUGUUGAUUGAUUGGUUACAUUAUUUUAACGCGGAUCGUGAAUGUGAGCCGUUGAUGAAGAGUAGAAUGGACGAUCAGUAAUGGCUGUACGAGUUGUUUACAAAGAGAAAAAAAUACUCCCUCCCUUCACUUUUACUUUCCUAUAAUACUCCAUUCAUCUAUUUUUAUUUGUUCAAUUUUUUAUUUACAAAGACACUAGAAAGUAUUUUGAAUAUAAUUUUAUCAUAUUUUUUUUGAAUAUAAUAAAUUUAAUCUUUUAAAAAAUUAAACAUAUAAUAAAUCAUAUUUAAUAUUAAAAUUAAAAAUAAAUAAAUUAGUUGUUACUUUUAUAAAUUGGAUAAGUAUUGUUGAACAAUUCAAAAUAAACAAAGAAAUACAUUUUAAUUUUAUUUGUUCACUUGAGAAAUUUUAUUUUUUUUUUCUAUUUUAUCCUUCAUUGAUUAUUUCAUAGGAGUAUCAUUUUUCAAGUUCAUCAAACCAUACACCACUUAUAGGAGUAUCAUCAUAAAAUAUACAUUUCAUUUAAUAUUUAUUAAGGAUGUGUGACAUCUAUUAUGAAUUAAUUAAAAAAACAUUAUUAAGAAAAAUGUUGUUUUUUCCAUCGAAUUCAUCUUUUUUUAAGUCAUCUAUAUCUCCAAUGUAGGAAUUAAGAGAACAAACGGAAAUGAAAGAGAGAAGAAUGAAGUGAUUUUCGAGUGGGGAUCACAAAAGAGAAUGAAGGAGAGAAAAAGUGAAGUGAUUCUCAAGUAAGGAGAGGGGUGUCCUUCUUCUCUAAAAGGAAAGUAGGAAAAAGCAAAUUCAUGAACUAGACAAAAUAAGUCUAUCAUCCUCAAAUAUAAGAUCGUGAUAAUAUUGAAGCGUCUCUCACUUUGUUUGAUCUUCUUGUCUUGACUUAGAAUUUUAAGUGAACAACAUGGCCAUGGCCUUGUGAAGAAAUUUAUUCCAAUCAUUUUAAUAGAGAUCUAAUACUUAGCAGACUCUAUACUGAGUUAUAAAGAAAUUGCACAAUUUAUUUAUAUGAAAAAAAAACUUUCUCAAAAAGCACAUAUGACUCUUUCAACUCACAACUUUUCAAGAAGUCAAACCUACUUCUUGUUACCAAAUCAGACAAACACAAGUUCCGAUGACUAUCACAAUUACCAAGCUAAAUAACUAGACUCUAACAAGAUCCAAACAAGCUCACGAAAACUCUUCCUGCAAAAACUCAUAAUUGCUCUAUGCUUCGAAUGUAUAACUUCUCCUAUUUCUUGAGAAUAAAGCCUUCUCAGUAUUAGUCAAUAGGUGGUGAAAAACGGUUUUGCUCGUCUUUGAAAGGUACAAAUAUAUCCUUAAACUUUGAUAAAUGUCAUACAUAUACCUUCCGUCAUACUUUAGGUAUAAAUAUACCCUUAUCGUUAAUAAAAAAGUACAUAUAUAUCCCUAAAUUUUGAUAAAUGGUACAAAUAUACCCUCCAACAUACUCUAAGUAUAAAUAUACCCUUGUAUUAAUGAAAAGGUACAUAUAUACCCUUCUUACUAAUGGCAAGACACGUGUCACAAUCCUAUUCAUUUGGCCUUUUUAAAUUUAAUUUACCACAACCCACCUCAAAAUAAUUCUAAUUUAACUCAUAACUCGAUCCAAAUAAUAACUCAAACCCGAUCCAAUCUAAUAGAAAGAGAAAAUGAAUAUGCAUGAAUAGAGAUGCGUCUUGGAGGUUCUAUUAGAUUGGGUCGGAUUUGGAUUGUUAUUUGAAUCAAUUUGUGGGUUAAAUUAUAAUUAUUUUCAGGUAGGGUGAGGAUAAAUUAAAUUUAAAAAGUCAAAUGAACUAGAUUGUGACAUGUGUCCUGCCGUUAGUGAGAAGUGUAUAUUUGUACCUUUUCAUUAGCGAAAAAAGUAUAUUUGUACCAAAAGUAUGACGGAGGAUAUAAUUGUACCAUUUAUCAAAGUUCAGGGAUAUAUGUAUACCUUUUACUUAAUGACAAGGAUAUAUACGCACCUUUCAUUAACGACAAGGGUAUAUUUUUACCUAAAGUCUGACAGAAGAUAUAUUUAUAUAUCAUUUAUCAAAGUUUAGGGGUAUAUUCGUACCUUCUCCCUUUUAUAGAUGCUUCAUGCUCUCCUCAGCUAAAUAUAAAUUCCUGACUUGAUGAAUUAUUUCCUUGUUAAGUAAGGACAUAAAAUGCCACCUCUCUUUCAAAAACCUUGCUAUGAAGGACAUGUAAGUUACCAUAAUUUAACUUAUGCUAAAAUUAGAUUUGCUGAUUCCCUUUCUUUUGCUGAGAAGGACAUGCAAGUUAUCAUAAUUAGAUGCGUGCUAAAAUUAGAUUUUGUCUUCAUCAAAACUUGGGCAUUAAAGAGUCUUCACCUUGUCCUUUCGCCACUAGAAAAAAUUAAGCACAAUUCAUUUGAACUAUGGUCUAUGAUAAUUUUUUUAUUGAUUUUAAAGAUAUAUUUAUAUAUCAUUUAUCAAAGUUUAGGGGUAUAUUCGUACCUUCUCCCUUUUAUAGAUGCUUCAUGCUCUCCUUAGCUAAAUAUAAAUUCCUGACUUGAUGAAUUAUUUCCUUGUUAAGUAAGGACAUAAAAUGCCACCUAAAUUUCCCUUGCUAUGAAGGACAUGUAAGUUACCAUAAUUUAACUUAUGCUAAAAUUAGAUUUGCUGAUUCCCUUUCUUUUGCUGAGAAGGACAUGCAAGUUAUCAUAAUUAGAUGCGUGCUAAAAUUAGAUUUUGUCUUCAUCAAAACUUGGGCAUUAAAGAGUCUUCACCUUGUCCUUUCGCCACUAGAAAAAAUUAAGCACAAUUCAUUUGAACUAUGGUCUAUGAUAAUUUUUUUAUUGAUUUUUGACGAUGGAUUUUUGUUGAAAAUAGGAUGAAUUGAUAUAUAAUUGCUAUACUAAAACUAGAUGCGAAUUCAACUUUCACGAAUCAAAAAACUCAGUGAUAUUUUUCAAAUUCAUUCAAAAAUAAUUUCCUAUAAAUUCUAUUUCGAUUUGACAUUAAAUAUAAUUCAACUUAUUAUUUUUCAAUUUAAACUUGCAUUAUUAUCCACUUAAAAUUCAUAAUUUAUUGCACCUAUGUGAUGAUGUCAUUCUUAUCAUUUUAAAACGUUUUAUUGAUUAACACGAGAACAAGUGUAACCGUAAGCAAGUUAUUAUAAAAAAUGAGAUCAUAAAUUAAUAAUACAAACAUUUUAAUAAACAUUAAGAGCAUGUAAAUAAUUCCACCAAAAUAACUCAAUUCCAACAAACCAAAUACAUAAAUACGUGAACAAUCCUUGCAUAAAGAAAUGUCCUUAUAAGAAAAUUAAAAAGGAUAAUUAACUACUUUCUAGAUUAAACUUAUCCUCUCUUGUAUCAAAUUCAACAUGCUUUUCUCAUGGACUCAUUUUUAAGGACUACACCAAAUUCGCUUGCCAGAAAAGGAUAAUCAUCCAAAUUCAACUUUUCAACUGUGCACUUUCGGCUAAUAUAUGAGUUUGAAUCUAAAAUUAAAACUUUUGUAAAUACAAAUAUGAAAACAAAACACCUUUGAGAGUUGGAGUAAUUAAUUUCUUGCAUCUCUUAUAAAAGAAGUUGCCUGACUAUAGUAAUUCGUUUUUGCAUAUACUAUUCAAUGGAUAAACUAAAACACCACAUUAAAGAAAAAUUAUUUCAUGGCAAAGUUUAGGCAAACAGAGAAAAUAGAAAAGAACCAAAAAAAGAGACUAAUUUGAAGAACAGAAAACAAUGUAUCAUUUUGAAAAGGUAGAAUAUUGUCUAUAUUCUUCUACAAAAAUUAUGAGUUAAAUGCUUCACUAAUACUCAAGGAAAAAAUAUAGAACAAUAUGAAAUCGUUGGUAUCCCUUUACAAGAAGUACCAUUUACCUUACCAUGAUUGUAGACAACAUUCAAGCGUAACGAGAAUCGGAUCCAGAUAUGACUAUACAUACCUUAAGCAGAACGGUGCAUUUGUUUAUGGUAAAUCACGAUUAUUAUGUGCAAUGCAUAGCGAAGACAAUACACCGCAAUCAUACUCUGUUUAAGAAUUUGUUUUCCGAAACAAUAUGAUAAAUAAAAUAAUAACCAACACAGAAUUUAGGUAGAUAAUAAGCAUUGAUUCAUUUGCAGUAAUCAUAUUAAGCCAAUUACAUAUCAAACUUCCAAAACUACCAGCCUUUACAUUGACCCAAAAGAUCCCCAAAUUCAUAAAACCUAAGAGCUAGUAAACUUGGUAACUGCCUUGGUUCCUUCAGAAACAGCGUGCUUAGCCAAUUCACCAGGCAACACAAGCCUCACAGCAGUCUGGAUUUCCCUUGAAGUGAUAGUAGGCUUCUUGUUGAUCCUAGCCAAUCUAGAUGAUUCCUGAGCAAGCUUCUCAAAUAUAUCAUUAAUGAAACUGUUCAUUAUACCCAUUGAUUUGCUGGAAAUGCCGAUAUCUGGAUGCACCUGCUUCAGCACCUUGAAGAU